GUAAAAGCAAGAAAAUUUUGUAAAAGUCAAAACCAUGACCAAGUUGCAAAGCAGUGCCCUUAUUGUUUUGGCUUUGUUUGCCCUCCUCCACCAAACUUAUGGGGAAAUCCAUUUUUGCCCAAAAGUAAUGAAUUUUGGUGGGCAAUGCCCAUCGGGUAUUUCAGGAAGAGGAUGCUCUGAAGAAAUGCAUGCAAGACUAGGAGCAGGUGCCAUGCCCCAGAAUUGCACUUGUAGUAAUAUUUCUUUUAACCUACGCAAAUGCACUUGUCAAGUUAAUUGUGGGAUCUAAGACACUCUCCUUAAAACAAUAAGUGUUCACCGAUCUUAUGUAACACAUUGGGAAUUUUAAUAAUGUCUUCAAUUUCUUA